UGAGCAAUCUGCCCUUCUCAUCGGAAUAAGCGUUGGAAACGACGUCUAAUGCCGAAUACGACCUCCUUUCGCAUGAUCGGAGGUGGAAAGCUCCGGCGGAGAAGGAUGAGCUCGCGGCCUAUCAGCUAGUUGGUGUGGGUAAUGGCCCACAAGGCGACGACGGGUAGCCGGCCUGAGAGGGUGACCGGCCACACGUGGGACUGAGACACGGUCCAGACCUCCGUACGGGAGCA
rnacentral:rRNA from 1 species